AUGGCAGCAUUCCUCAGGUCCAAGUGUUCGUCAGUUGGACGUGCUAUGAUGGGAAGCCUUGGAAACAAUCUGUACGGGGGCGCUAGCUCGUCUAUUGAAACAGUGGCAAGACCAUCUCGUUCUGAUGCUGUCUGCCAGCAAAUUAGAACAUUCAUCCAGAUGAGAACAAACCUCAAGGUGGUGGACAACUCGGGAGCCAAGCGGGUUAUGUGCAUACAGUCCCUUAGGGGGAAGAAAGGAGCGAGGCUCGGGGACAUGAUCAUCGGCUCUGUCAAGGAAGCGCAGCCUCGUGGUAAGGUCAAGAAAGGAGACGUGGUCUAUGGGGUGGUUGUCCGUGCUGCCAUGAAGAAGGGGCGCAGUGAUGGCAGCGAGGUCCAGUUCGACGACAACGCGAUCGUGAACAACAAGGGUGAGCUGAUUGGCACCCGUGUCUUUGGUCCUGUCCCCCAUGAGCUCAGGAAGAAGAAGCAUCUCAAGAUCCUGGCUCUGGCUGAGCACAUAGUAUGA
rnacentral:rRNA from 1 species